rnacentral:rRNA from 1 species
CCAGACUCCUACGGGAGGCAGCAGUGGGGAAUAUUGGGCAAUGGGCGCAAGCCUGACCCAGCAACGCCGCGUGAAGGAAGAAGGCUUUCGGGUUGUAAACUUCUUUUGUCAGGGACGAAGCAAGUGACGGUACCUGACGAAUAAGCCACGGCUAACUACGUGCCAGCAGCCGCGGUAAUACAUAGGUGGCAAGCGUUAUCCGGAUUUACUGGGUGUAAAGGGCGUGUAGGCGGGACUGCAAGUCAGAUGUGAAAACCACGGGCUCAACCUGUGGCCUGCAUUUGAAACUGUAGUUCUUGAGUGCUGGAGAGGCAGACGGAAUUCCUAGUGUAGCGGUGAAAUGCGUAGAUAUUAGGAGGAACACCAGUGGCGAAGGCGGUCUGCUGGACAGCAACUGACGCUGAGGCGCGAAAGCGUGGGGAGCAAACAGGAUUAGAUACCCGCGUACG